GAGUAACACGUGAGCAACCUGCCCCGAAGACCGGGAUAACAGCGGGAAACCGCUGCUAAUACCGGAUGUCCCCACCGGGUCACAUGGCCCUAUGAGGAAAUGGAUUCCGCUUCGGGAGGGGCUCGCGGCCUAUCAGCUUGUUGGUGGGGUAACGGCCUACCAAGGCGACGACGGGUAGCUGGUCUGAGAGGACGAUCAGCCACACUGGGACUGAGACACGGCCCAGACUCCUACGGGAGGCAGCAGUGGGGAAUCUUGCGCAAUGGGCGAAAGCCUGACGCAGCAACGCCGCGUGAGGGAUGAAGGCCUUCGGGUUGUAAACCUCUUUCGAGCAGGGACGAUAAUGACGGUACCUGCAGAAGAAGCUCCGGCCAACUACGUGCCAGCAGCCGCGGUAAUACGUAGGGAGCGAGCGUUGUCCGGAUUCAUUGGGCGUAAAGAGCUCGUAGGCGGCUUGAUAAGUCGGAUGUGAAACCUCCAGGCUCAACCUGGAGUCGCCAUCCGAUACUGUCAUGGCUAGAGUCCGGUAGGGGCCCACGGAACUCCUGGUGUAGCGGUGAAAUGC
rnacentral:rRNA from 1 species